UUUUUUUUUUUUUUUUUGGCUUAAAUGGGCCAGCAUCCUGCACUGUGGCGUGAGGCUCGAUGGGUCGAGUCAUAUUCGAAGUGGCAUAAAGCUGGUUGAGUCGAAUCACAAUCGAUAUUCGUGAACGCUGUAUCUGUACGCUUUAAGUGAAUUAGUUGCAUAUUUCUAACAGCUCGAGAUUUUGGGAUUACUGAUCAGCGCCAAUGAUCCGAUAGCUUUCUCUCUCUCUAAAAACACCGGGCAAUUUUUUUUCCUUUCCAUUGGUGGCCGUCGGAUGGGCUAUAUGGCGUCCAUCCACAUAGUCCCCAAACUAAUUAGUUUGGGACAAUGCCCAUAAAAAUUUUGUCCCGUAUAUAGUGUCUUGGUAAGAUCACACAUUUAUUGUUCUCAAACGGUGAGAUGGUGAAGCAUACGAUCCUUUGGAUUUCAAAUUUUAAUAAUUUAUUAUAAUUUUUUAUUCGAAUUUUUUUAAUUAUUGCAAUCAAGUUUCAAAUCCAAUUUAGUUCGUCAAAUACUAGGGAGUGUUUGGUUUGCUUCUUUUUCACCCUAGAAUCGAAAUCGAAAUGGAUAAAUCCGUUUGUGGGUGUUUAGUACGCGGGAGUUCCAUUCCGAUUCCGAUUCCCGAGUGGAAUGGGAAUCCCCCGAUCACCUCUUUUUUCAACCCGGCCUAGGAGGCCGGAUUGAAAGUUGAAUCCGGACGGAAUGGAUAUUUAUUCGGAUUAAAUUUAUUUUUUCAACUUUUUUAAUUAAAAUAUGAGUUAAAAUUUUAAAAUUAAAUAUAUAAUUUUAAAUUUUAAUUUAAACUUAAAUUAAAAAUUAAAAUUUAAUCAAGUAUUUCGAAUCUAACUUAUGAAUUUGAAUUUAAAUUAAAUUUUAAUUUAUAUAAAAUGUUAUUCAAAUUUUAUUUCAAACUUAAAUUAAAUUUAUGUAUUCAAAUUAAAAUUUAAAUUGUAAUUUUAAAUUUGAAUUUGAAUAAAUCAAAAUUUAGUUUCAUAUUUUAAAUUAUCCACUCAACUUCAAAGUUUAAUUUUUUUAAAAAAAGUAGAUUUAAAAUUUUAACAUUAUUUCAAAAUUUUAAUGUAAAUUUUUAAUAUUUAAUUUUUAAUUUGAAUUUAAAUUAAUAUAUUAUAAAGAUAAUGUUAGUAUAUUAAUUUGAUUACAUUUUUUAUAUCCACCUGAACCAAACACCGACAAUGGGAAUGAUUUAUUUCGAUUCCGAUUCAGGUGAUGAACCAAACAGAAUUAGGUAAUGAGUCAUUCCGAUUCCGAUUCCGGCUUAUUUUGAUUCCGAUUCCGAUUUCGAUUCCGACUUCGAACCAAACGCGCCCCUAAUGUAUUGCUAAUGUAAUAUAUAUAUAUAUAUAGAAUUGGGCUCCUAUACUUUUAAAAGUACCAAGUUAUUGGUGCUUAUAGAUUUUUAGCCAUUGGAUUAAGAGAUAUACGGUUAGGAUGAUGUGGGCCCCCUAAGGUUGAGUAGGUGGUUGGUUGAAUAGUAUAAUCUAAUUGUUGAAAAUAAUUCGAGAAGUAGAUCUAACGGUAAAAAACUUACAAGCACCAAGUACAUGGUGCUUUUACAAGCACCAUAGCUGCCCUAUAUAAAUAUAUAUAUAUAUAUAUAAGCAUCUUAAUUAUUAUUAUUAUUAUUAUUAUUAUGAUGUUAUCUUAUUAAUUAUAAUACUCUUUUAUUGUGCAGCUCUAGAUACCAAGCACGCACUUUUUGUCUUUUUUAAUGAAUAAAAUUGAUUCUAUGCUGUCCACAUAAUAGGUGUCACGCCAGAGGAUCAUCUAAAUAUUUUACGUGAACAUAAUAAACUAUCUAUUGAUAGUACAUAGGGAUAAUUACUUAUAUAUUCUUUAAAAUUUUUGAAGUAUGUUAUGUAUAUUUUUCUUUUUUGGGUUUCAAAUAUAAUUUUAAUAUAUUUUUUUGUUAUUCAAAAAUAAUUCUGUUGUUAGUACUCGUUAAAUUAUUUCGAAUUAAACUCAGAUUAAAACUCUUGAUAUUGAGGCCCAUUUGACACUAUUAGAUAAAAUAAAGUUGAGACAAAAGUAUAUAGAGAUAUGUUUCUGCGUUCUCCAGUUGGAUCGCAAAAAAAAUAUUGUAACCUGCGAUAUGUAUGUACGAAAAAAAAAAAGAAUAUUUUUUCUUCAUACUUUCUCACUACACGUAACGUAAUCUUCCUGUAAUUCUAAACGGAGCUUAAAAAUUUCUAUCAAAGUUAAAAAAAAAUAAAAAUAACUCUUUUAUCCUUAACUUACAUAUUUUCUUAAUAGAUAUUAUCCUUUUUUAUAGGAUAAUUGUUUAUAUACCUUGAAAAGUUUCAAACUUUUUGAUUAAGCCUGUUUAGAAAGCUAAUAUGGAAAAUAUCUUUCUAACUUUCUUACUACACAUAACGUAAUUUUUCUAUAAUUUUAAACAGAGCCUAAAAAUUUCUAUCAAAGUUAAAAAAAAAUAAAAAUAACUCUUUUAUCCUUAACUUACAUAUUUUCUUAAUAGAUAUUAUCCUUUUUUAUAGGAUAAUUGUUUAUAUACCUUGAAAAGUUUCAAACUUUUUGACUAAGCCUGUUUAGAAGGCUAAUAUGGAAAAUAUCUUUCUAACUUUCAAAUUCUUUCAAAUAGGACAGUUGAGUUAGAUUCUAUUAGUAAUUUUAUAUUUAACUAUGAGUUAUGAAAUUAUGAUACCGCGAUUAUUUACAACUGUGUGUUUUUUUUUUUUUUCUGAGAGAUAGGUAGUACGCUACCCGCUUCGUUUAUUUUAUUUAAAAAUAAAUUUAGCUGGAAAUGUGAAUCAACUAGGAUGCGAACUUGGAUCUCGGGUAUCAACUACCAAAUUCUUUGCCAUUUGCUCUAGGAACGGUCAGUUAUUUACAACUAUGUUGAAUUAUUUAUUUAGCCACAGUAAUUUUUUUUUAGUUAAGAUUGUACUUUUAUAAAAGAAGGUGAGCAUUAGAAUACAAUCAUUGGAUCAUAAAUAAGAAAAAUAUUUGACAUUUUAAGAGCAAAUAUAAAAUAGUGGGUGAGAGUAGAAGAGUAUAUUUAAAUGAUAAAAUUGUAAUUUUAUAAAAAUAAUAAAUUUUUCUAACAGUUUACUAACCGAAUCUAAUUUAAAAAGGUAUAUAUGAAAGAACUUAAAAUUGUAUUAGCCUUUUAAGUGGAGCAGGUAAAAAAGUUUGAAACUUUUUAAGAAUAUAUAUAAGCAAUUGCUUCUGGUAUUUAAAUCCAAUAAACUAAUUAUUGUGUUCAAGUAAAACACUCUGUGCUUUUAAAAUUCAGAAGAAUAUGGUAAACCGUUUACAGUGUUUAUGCAAAAUUUUGUGUUCAUCUUAAAAUGGUGUAACCCAUAGGAUUAUUUCUACAAAUCAAAUUUUUUUGGAGUCAAUUAUGAAAUAAAAUGUUUUAAGGGGCCAAAUGCAAAAAGAUCCCAAAAAUUUGUCCUGCGUUCGGAUAUGUAUCAAUUGCGGAUCACUCCAAAACCGACUUUACCCGCCCUGCUUGUGUUUUUUUUUUUUGGGGUAAACUUCAUAUACCAUUUCGGUAGUUUUGCACUUUCUCACUUUAAUAUUCUGUGGUUUAAAGUGUAUUAAGUUAGUGUCAUACAGUUUCAUUUUUAUUUUUUCGUCAGUUUCUCCGUUAAUAUUUUGUUAAAUUAUAUAUAAAAAACUUUAGAUACCCCACAGAUUUAUCGAAUAUUUAUUUUAGUACACUUUAGUUUUAACUUUGUCACUAAUUUAUCGAAAAAAAUUAGUGGAAUCGGUAAUAAAAAGAUAAAAAUAAAAACAUAGAGUGCUAAAUUGAUACACUUUAAACUAUAGGGUACUAAAACGAGAAAGUGUGAAACCACCGGGUGGUAUUUG
rnacentral:lncRNA from 1 species